rnacentral:rRNA from 1 species
CAAAAACAUGUCCUUUUGUUAUUAAAUAUAAGGUUUAGCCUGCCCAAUGAUUAAAAUUUAUUUAAUGGCCGCGGUAUAUUAACUGUGCUAAGGUAGCAUAAUCACUUGUCUUUUAAUUAAAGGCUAGAAUGAAUGGCUGGACGAGAUAUAAGCUUUCUUUAAUUUAUCUUUAGAAUUUAAUUUUUUAGUUAAAAAGCUUAAAUAUUUUUGGUAGACGAGAAGACCCUAUAGAUCUUAAUUUAUUAAUUUAUUAUAUAUUGUGGUAUAUAAAUUGUUUUUAAUGAAUUAAUAAAUUUGGUUGGGGCGACUAUAGAAUAUAAUUAACUUCUAUUUUUAAUUUUCAUAAAUUAAUGUUUUUUUGAUCCAUUAUUAUUGAUUAUAAGAUUAAGUUACCUUAGGGAUAACAGCGUAAUUUUUUUGGAGAGUUCUUAUCGAUAAAAAAGUUUGCGACCUCGAUGUUGGAUUAAAAUAAGUUGUAGGUGUAGGAGUUUACAAACUAGGUCUGUUCGACCUUUAAUUUUUUACAUGAUCUGAGUUC